rnacentral:rRNA from 1 species
AGACCUAGCAAUAGGUAUGCUUAGGGAGGAGCUUGCGUCACAUUAGUUAGUUGGUGGGGUAAAGGCCUACCAAGACUAUGAUGUGUAGCCGGGCUGAGAGGUUGAACGGCCACAUUGGGACUGAGACACGGCCCAAACUCCUACGGGAGGCAGCAGUAGGGAAUUUUCGGCAAUGGAGGAAACUCUGACCGAGCAACGCCGCGUGAACGAUGAAGUAUUUCGGUACGUAAAGUUCUUUUAUUAGGGAAGAAUAAAUGAUGGAAAAAUCAUUCUGACGGUACCUAAUGAAUAAGCCCCGGCUAACUAUGUGCCAGCAGCCGCGGUAAUACAUAGGGGGCAAGCGUUAUCCGGAAUUAUUGGGCGUAAAGGGUGCGUAGGCGGUUAAAUAAGUUUAUGGUCUAAGUGCAAUGCUCAACAUUGUGAUGCUAUAAAAACUGUUUAGCUAGAGUAAGAUAGAGGCAAGUGGAAUUCCAUGUGUAGUGGUAAAAUGCGUAAAUAUAUGGAGGAACACCAGUAGCGAAGGCGGCUUGCUGGGUCUUUACUGACGCUGAGGCACGAAAGCGUGGGGAGCAAACAGGAUUAGAUACCCUGGUAGUCCACGCCGUAAACGAUGAGUACUAAACGUUGGGUAAAACCAGUGUUGAAGUUAACACAUUAAGUACUCCGCCUGAGUAGUACGUACGCAAGUAUGAAACUUAAAGGAAUUGACGGGACUCCGCACAAGCGGUGGAUCAUGUUGUUUAAUUCGAAGGUACCCGAAAAACCUCACCAGGUCUUGACAUGCUUCUGCAAAGCUGUAGAAACACAGUGGAGGUUAUCAGUUGCACAGGUGGUGCAUGGUUGUCGUCAGCUCGUGUCGUGAGAUGUUGGGUUAAGUCCCGCAACGAGCGCAACCCUUAUUGUUAGUUACCAGCACGUAAUGGUGGGGACUUUAGCAAGACUGCCAGUGAUAAAUUGGAGGAAGGUGGGGACGACGUCAAAUCAUCAUGCCCCUUAUGACCUGGGCUACAAACGUGAUACAAUGGCUGUUACAAAGGGUAGCUGAAGCGCAAGUUUUUGGCGAAUCUCAAAAAAACAGUCUCAGUUCGGAUUGAAGUCUGCAACUCGACUUCAUGAAGUUGGAAUCGCUAGUAAUCGCGA